AGUGGCUGUCGUCAGCUCGUGUCGUGAGAUGUUGGGUUAAGUCCCGUAACGAGCGCAACCCUUGUCCUUAGUUACCAGCACGUUAUGGUGGGCACUCUAAGGAGACUGCCAGUGACAAACCGGAGGAAGGUGGGGAUGACGUCAAGUCAUCAUGGCCCUUACGGCCUGGGCUACACACGUGCUACAAUGGUCGGUACAAAGGGUUGCCAAGCCGCGAGGUGGAGCUAAUCCCAUAAAACCGAUCGUAGUCCGGAUCGCAGUCUGCAACUCGACUGCGUGAAGUCGGAAUCGCUAGUAAUCGUGAAUCAGAAUGUCACGGUGAAUACGUUCCCGGGCCUU
rnacentral:rRNA from 1 species